rnacentral:lncRNA from 1 species
GCAUUUGUAGUUUGAGAGAAAUAAUAGUAGAAAGUGUCGAACCAGUUUCUAGGAUGUUUUGGCCAAAUAAAAUACUAUAAAUAUUGAACAAAUUCUGUGGUGAAGUUAAGGAGAUAUCCAAAUGUUCUGAAAUAGCCAGUAGCCAUAGAGGCCCCUAGAGAUUUACAGGUUGCAUAGAUAACUUGAUCAAUAAAUAUAUAUUGUGCUUUGAUGUUAUUAUGAAGUAGUGAUGCGAAGAAUAAUCACAUCGGUAUUUACAAACCUGAGAUACAUCCACAGCAACAAAUAACAUAUGAGUUGAAAAAGGAUAUUCUUUGCACAAUGUCCAGAUCCAUAAAUACUUGUUGUAGAUUAUAAUCAUGUAUUGAUAAGCUGGCAUGGCUAUGAGAAAUCCACUAUGGUACAAUACAGAUAAAAAAAGAGAAACAUAUAUAACAGCAACCAAUGUACCACUAAAGAUCUAAAAUUCAGUGUAACAAAAUGAGAUAGGCAGCCCAUCAGAUGAAAGAGCUCAAACCCAAUCACUAACCCAAGUGAAGAGAGCCACAAUAGGUCAUACCCAUUACAAAAAUUUUGUAUAAAACAAUUGUACCACUAUAGCCAUCACUUAUCUCCAGCAUCUAUCAUCUAGCCAACAAUCCUCGUAGCUUCACCAAUGCCUAGGAAAGGAGAUUUUAUAUGCAUCAGCUUGCAAAAUAGUUGCAAAAGAAAGAUCUAGAAUAUUCCCUCCUUUCCACACAAUAUCAUUUUGCAAGGCACAAAUGGUCAUGUAAUCUGCUGCUCGAUUGGCUUCGCAAUAUAUAUGAGUAAUAUGGCAUAGCCUACAUGUCUGUUGCCAAGCUAUCAUAUCCUUUAUCAAAAGAACUAAAGAGUUCUUAGAUUUAUACUGAAGCAACCAAGAGAUGACUGUUAACAAGUCACCUUCAAUCCAAAUCUAUUGAGCUCCCAAUUCAUUAGCAGCCACUUGAAGCUCUAACCACACUAUAGAAAGCUUUGCAUAUGGUACAGAUGAGAGCAUCAAUUGUCAGCCCCAGCUAUAAUUAUUUGGCCAACUUCAUUUCUAACCACAAAGCCAGUUGUUGCUUGAUCACAUGUUACAGAAGCAUCAAGGUUAAUUUUAAAUACUCUAGUGGGAG